CGAUCCCGCGAAUCCCGAGCACCGUUCUCGCUCUGCGUGAGCGCAGGCGCGUGCCACUGCGCGAGCCAAUUACUGCGUUCGGAGUAGUGACACUUUUUCUCUCGAGUGUGCAAAGCUUUAAUAAGAUUGGCUCUUGUCGUUAGCUCCUCGCCAAAUUUAAGUGUAGUUAACCAAUCGUGAUAAAGAGUAACUAGAGUGAGAGCUCGUUUUCUCUCUGCUGAACGCCAACAAUGUGAAAUAUUUGACGCUACAAAUAUUUCGGAGCAUUUAAUUAAUUGAAAUUGAAAUAAAAAGAAUUUUACGAUUUGGCCAAUCAAAGAAUGCCUUGAAGCGUUUGUAGCGGCAGAGAGGAACCUGAGAGCGGUCAUCGCGUCGUUUUAGAUGUUUUCAUUCAUUAGCGCCUCUAUGUGCACAAAAUGUGCACAUUGAACUAUGUAGUCAAAUAUCUAUGAAAUAUCUAUGUAGGUAAUGUGUAUGACUUUUUGGGUCUCUUCUAUGCUGUGUCCACGUUUAUUUGGUUGCCGACAUUAUCCUGCUAUUCUCGAACAUUAAUAACCGCACAUUAUACCUGCGCACAAUGAAUUCUGAAUACGCGAGACACGCACGGAGUCGACAGAACGUCCGACCGGCGCUGGAGUGGCGUACGUGACUGGAGCGCGGAGCAACGGAGCAACAUGGCGGCAGCGGCGCAGGCGCGGCGAGUGGCGCCGACUAGCGCCGAGUACCGCCGAGUCUGCCUGCCAGCAGUAACGUACGCCACUCCAGCGCCGGUCGGACGUUCCGUCGACUCCGUGCGUGUCUCGCGUUCAGAAUUCAUUGUGCGCAGGUACGGUGUGAGAUCGUACGUAGCCGAAAUCGUAUUCAUCUGUAUAGCCUCGUCUACAGAAGUCGCAAGCAGCCAGUUGCGACUUGCGACAGCCAAUGAUUGUCGAGCUUUAACUAGAAACUAGGCGCUCAUUGGCUGUAGCAAGUCGCAACUGACUGCUUGUGACUUUUGUAGACGAGGCUUAAAGCGCGGCAUCGUGCGUUUGCCUUCGGUCACGCAAUCAUACAGAGAUACACAAAACUCUGGGAGCGAAUUGAUUUACUUCUGUUCAGUGUGUCUUGACGUGCGCAUUCAAUUGAUUUUUGGACAUAGCAUAGAAGAGACUUAAAAAGUCAUGCACAUUAUCUACGAGAUUUAUUUGACUACAUAGUUUAAUGUGCACAUUUUGUGCGUAUAGAGGCGCUGAUGGAUGAAAACACCUAAAACGACGCGAUAACCGCUCUCUGGUAGCGGUUAUAUGAACUAUGGCCGAAGUCGAUUAUCUUUCCCUCGCUCGACGCGCCACUUCGAGAAUCGCAAUCUCGCGCCACUCAAUAUUUUUUGAAUUCCCGCGUUGGUUCACGAAAACCCGCCAUCGCCAACGGAUCGGAGCGGAGUAGUAGCCGUUCGAAUCGUGUCCUCACGUCUCUCUCACUCUCGUGUUCGCGAUCGAAAAGAAGUGGAAUCCGCGCGCAAGCCGGUAUUGUCUCGCGAGUGCGUGUCUUUUUCGUCGAAAUGUGUGAUAUUGUGUCGAGUACAGUGAGUGGAAGCCGUGUGGUGUCUACAUUGACGACGAGAUUCAGCAUCAAUGCCCCCCCUUCCUUACCCCUGGUUGCGAGAAUCACCGGCGAUCGGCUCCAAUCAUCGUGUUCUCCAUUCCGUGCUGCAGAUGACAACGCGUAAUCGUCGUGACUGUCACCAGAUUAUGAUGAGAAACAUGGCUGGUGAUGGUAUUGGUGAGUAGAAUUUAGGGUAUGGGUGAUGGUUUUUUAAGAUUGAUUUCUGAAAUCAGUGCAAUUUAUUUUUUAACAUACCUAGUAAGCAAGAAACACUUAAAGUAACACUUAGAAAUAUUGAUUUCAUAUAUAAUUUUUGAACGUUUUAAAAUAAUAUUAUAUAAAUAUUUGUUAAAAAGAAUGAUUUAAUAGACGAUUUUUUUGAAAUAUUAUUAAAAUGUUUUAUAAAACAUUUCCAAGUUAUGGCACAAAAAUUUGUUUAUCGAUGUUUUAUACAGCGUUAAAGUUACGUUUUUGCUGUACAUUUUUUAUAUUUUUAUUGCUAUUAUUUAAUGUACUAAAAAGUAUUAUUAAAAAAUUUCAAUAUAAAAUAAUAGUAUGUAUAUCAUUUAAUAUAGCUAAAAAGAAUAGAUUAUAUUGCAUGCGUAGUAAACAAUGUUUGUAAGAAUUGCACUGAUUUAUAUAUAACAUAGCAUGAGUAGAGAUUUAUGUCACACUGACAAAUUUAUGUUUUGCAUUUCUCGUCGCGAAUUGAUAUUGAUAUUAUGAAAUGAUCUAUGCAUUCGCAAUUGCGAUGCAAAUGUGUAAAAAAUUAGUAUUACAAAUUUUUGUUGUUAGCAACAAAGAAAAGCACACAGCUGCUUCUUACAAUGUCAUUUAUUUAAGCCUAGCGUACAGUAAUACCUAUAAGAUAAAGUAUUUGUAUUAUAUAAUAUAGAUCUGUUCAUUUUUUCUGUGCUAGAUAUACAGCUGAAAGAAUAUUGCAAUUUAAUAUAAUUUCGAUAUUCAUACACAAUAAUAUAUUAAUAGUCUAAGUGUCAAAGCGUUUUGUAAUAGUUAUAUACUUACGAAUCUAUCAUUUAAUUAUUAUCGGUAGACAAUUUAUUGAAUCUGAAACGAUUUAUUAAGUGAAAGUAUAUAGCAACAUAGUGUUUUAUUUGAUAAACAAUUGUGAUUAAUACAACUCUUCUUUCUUUAAAUAACAAAUAAUAGUUUUGAAAUCUGCGAAGUACACCGGAAAUGUAUUAGUUAAAGAUUUCGUGUAGGCAAAAAUAAUGAAGAAUAUUAUGACAAAAAUAUAGUAAAAUGUAUCAUGCAUUUAAUGCAGCUAUCUUUCUCUUUUCUUUUUAUUUAAAUAAUGUAACAUUAUUUAA